AGAUUGAACGCUGGCGGCAUGCCUUACACAUGCAAGUCGAACGGCAGGCACGGGGGCAACCCUGGUGGCGAGUGGCGAACGGGUGAGUAACAUAUCGGAACGUGCCCUGGAGUGGGGGGAUAACUAGUACGAAAGAUUAGCUAAUACCGCAUACGAUCUACGGAUGAAAGUGGGGGAUCGCAAGACCUCAUGCUCGUGGACGCGGCCGAUAUCUGAUUAGCUAGUUGGUAGGGGUAAAGGCCUACCAAGGCAUCGAUCAGUAGCUAGGUCUGAGGAGACGACCAGCCACACGUGGACUGAGAC
rnacentral:rRNA from 1 species